rnacentral:rRNA from 1 species
UAGGGAAUCUUCCGCAAUGGACGCAAGUCUGACGGAGCAACGCCGCGUGAGUGAAGAAGGAUUUCGGUUCGUAAAACUCUGUUGUUAGAGAAGAACAGCGCAUAGAGUAACUGUUAUGCGUGUGACGGUAUCUAACCAGAAAGCCACGGCUAACUACGUGCCAGCAGCCGCGGUAAUACGUAGGGUGCAAGCGUUGUCCGGAUUUAUUGGGCGUAAAGCGAGCGCAGGCGGUCAAUUAAGUCUGAUGUGAAAGCCCCCGGCUCAACCGGGGAGGGUCAUUGGAAACGGGUUGACUUGAGUGCAGAAGAGGAGAGUGGAAUUCCAUGUGUAGCGGUGAAAUGCGUAGAUAUAUGGAGGAACACCAGUGGCGAAGGCGACUCUCUGGUCUGUAACUGACGAUGAGGCUCGAAAGCGUGGGUAGCAAACAGG